AUUUCCACUGCUGCUCUCUCAUCUGCUGCUCUGAAGCCUAAACCAUGGUGCCCAGAAUCUUCGAUAUUGGACUGUGGUUGUGCCAGUUGACACUCCAGAGUGGAGACCAGAUCUGCAAUCUCUUGGGGCUGUAAUAAGGGGAUCAUCCUGUCCUUGAACAAGACCCAGCUCUGUGGUCCUAACUGCACUUCUGGCCCUGCUUCCAGCACUGCUGACUGGAGCCCCUGGGCUCUCAGCACCAGGCAGUAGUGAGGCUCCAUGUCCCAGGAGUGAGGCCUGACUACCCCAGGAGUGUGCUCAAGUAAGGGCAGCCCAGGCGGUGGACAGAGUUUUGUUGUGUGUAUUCCAUCAAGAUGCAACUCAUGAGAAGCUGGAGGACCUGGAGAAGCUGGCAACUCAAAAAGGCCAAAGGGUGCAGACAAUAAAAGCCCCAGACAAGCGUAUAGAACCACACGCCGUCUUUUUACUUGCCGCCCUGGACGGCUCAUGGAGGAGACAGGGACUCUCCCCAGGUCGAAGGCCCAAGGCCUGGAUGAUGGGGUGGGGCCCAGGAUGGGUGCCAGGGGUCUGGAGGACAUGAGUGGAUGAAGGCCCUGGGCUUCAGCUUCCUCUUGGUGGAAUGUGGGUGAUGAGGUCCGACCAUGCAGCGCUGCUGUGAGGACCGGAUGAGAGGAUCCCUGGGAGGUGGCCGGUGACUUGGUACCGUCACCUCAGUGACUGUUCUUCAUCCUCAUGGAUGUUCAGAGAAGACUGGUUCAUUCCCUCUGGUGGCCGUCUGUCCACCAGACAGGACCGAUACAUCCUCUGAAAAUUUCAUCACUUUAGGCAAUAGCACUUUCAUUCUUUUCCAGUUCAUCUGAUGCCAUUUAAAUCGACCUGGUGAUUCUGGGAAGCCCGGGAUUCCUGUCCCUUUGAGGAGACGCCAGGUGCCAUCUGUGUGCAUGCGUGGCAUUUGGGCGGGAACCCAGAGCCCCGACUCUGGGCUUGUUGAACUCAGGUCCAAGGAGGGAUUCACUACGUUGGUGUAAGGUGCGGUCUGUGUUUCAGAUUCUUGUGCCAGAUGAGGUGAUGCUUUGAUGUCAAUACCUCGCGUUGGGGGAAGGUGGAGGAUCUGGACCAGUGGUGUAGGAGGCCAGGAUGGGGCGGGACCCAGACACAUGAGGAUUCCGGGUUUCAGAAGGACGGAGCUGAGCAAGGCCACUCGGCGCACGCGCGGUGCCUUGAGCGCCUACAUCCAGAUGUGCAUCUUCCGUGGGGCCGUCCCGGGGCGGGGUCUGAGCUGGGAGACCUGCCUCUCUCCUGCUCUCCUAGAGUCACUUAAAACUUUUUAGUUUUCCGUUUAAAUGACCAAAUGAGAUCAUUUCAUGGGGUGGUGGGGGGAGUGGAGGCAGGGAGAGUCACAAACAGAAAGCGGCCAAGACAGCUGUGGGAGAGGGAAGGGGAAGAUGGGGUGAGUGGACAGCCACAGAUACGACUGGCACUGACAUUUAGAAGAAGAUUGGGUGGAACCAGGGCUCGGUAUGGCUUUGGGCAGUUCAGAAACUGAAACAGGGCUGUGGAUGGGGCUGACCCGGGCGCUGUGGAUGGGGAAUUGCUGUGAGCAAUUCACGCCUGGAGAUUUGGCUGGGCAUGGGAACAAGAAUGAGGGAACAGGGAGUUUGGGGUGGGGAGCGAGCCCUGGUGGUGGCUGAGAUGGGAGAUGGGUUCGGUUGGGAAUGGGGUCCUCCCCUCCUUACCCAGAACACGGCUUCGGGGAGCCAUUGCUCUGGGGCGGCUGCAGCGGAGUGAGCUGGUGAUCAGCCGAUCUCAGCCACUCCUUGUAUCCCAUAUUCCUAGAGGAGCUGGUGAUGUCACGGCAUGUCUGGCCCUCCUGCAGAGACAGGCUGGGUCGCUGGGCAGUAAAGGAGCCAGGCAGGGUAUGUGUCAUAGUAGAUUUGAUCUCAGACACUUUGAGAACCCAGGGAGAAGUGGUGCACCCUCCGCUUCUGUGUCCUACAUGCCCCCUCUUUGGCAAACAGGAAGGUGCAGCAUGCUCCUAUAGUUACCGCCCUCCCCCACUCACACAGCCACACAGUGAUUCCACAGGAUCCCAUUGAGCUAUGACUUUCUCCACUUUCCUUGGUACAUUGCUAACCCCUGACAUCCUCUAAUCAGGUCCUAACUUCACAACCCAAGCCCAUGGCCCAGGAUGCAGUAACUGCUCACUCACCUGCAGCUCAUGGCAUUCGGGUGGGAGAGACUGUGCGACUCAGGCACCUGACUUUCACAGGUUUGGAAGGUGGGAGUGGAGCUGGCGGGACCCCUGGGACUCACACUCCUCUGGGGGCUCUUCAACUCCUUCUCUGUUUCAUUAAUGGUCAUUUAUCCAGGAGAGGUCCACUUGGAAGCCCACAUGUCCCAGGCUUUGUGUCAGACACUGGUGAUGCAGUGCUGAGUAGAAAAUGCAAAGUCAGUGUCUUCGUGACGUUCAUGACAGUGAGAGGAGAGAGAGAGAGAGAGAGAGAGAAGGUAGGAGAAUAAAACUCCUGAUUUUGGUUAUUGUCGUUCUUGUGUUUGGUGUCAUUGUCACUGUGAAGUUCUGGUGGUGGAGAAAUUCCACAGCCCUCCUGAGAUUUUCAAGGACAUUUUUCCUUAACGUGCUUUUUCAGAGGGUCGGGUGUGUGAUUUCCCCACAGAAGAGCCAUCUUGGGGUCAGGACGAAAAAACAGAGGGGAAGAAGCUGUCUUGGGUCAGUUCUGUGGGCCCCUCCCAGCUUCUGCAGGAUUUCCUCAGUUUGUGAGUUCACAGGCCACACCUGGUAUGGACAAGCCAUUCUCCCCAGGGUUAUUCCCAGCAGGGGAUGUAUGUGGUCAGAUCUGUGUGUGUGGAAGAUCCUGUAUCUUUCUGGGGAGCAUGGACAGGGGCUUCUCUCUGGAGGCAGGCGACAAGGGAAGAGGCUGCAGCAGAAAUGAUCUCAUGAUAAAUACCAGAGUGCUCAGCACGCACCUUCCCCAGGGGAAGAGCAGACCCUGCUUCCAGCACCAUCUCCCUGUCUUCUCCAUUGGCCUCCAUGCCUUGUUGCUGUGGGGUAGAGUGUUGUUUUCCAGGACACAGAUUAGGACGUGCUGAUAACAUGGAAAACCAUCAGUUGGGCAUAAGCAAUGUUAUUUUUUAAUUGAAAAAAAAAAUGGAUUAAGAAAUGGGACAGUGUGCCCUAACCAGAAUGCUGUGCUAGAUUGUUUAUGACACUCUUAUUGGAACUGUGUGUAUUCCACGUAAUGGUAGAAUAUCAUUCUAUCAUUCGAUCAUAUUAUACUAUUGUACAAUAGAAGUAGGGAAGCUGCUGACAGCAGGAAAUGCCAAGUCCUCAGAGGUUUCACAUUCCAGGAACCAAAAUCUGCCAGCCUGGCCCGAGAACCUGGGUAUCAUUCAGGAGUGUCUGUGAACAGGGCCUGUCUUCCUUUCUCAGAGAGACCAGGCCUGGGGAGUUGGGAAGCCCAUGGGUGAGAGGUCAGGAGACCUGGGUUCUUGCCUGGCCUGCGUCACUGACCAGCAGCAGUACCUCAGCCCGUGUCUUGCUUGGAUCCAGGAAGCGGGGUGAGAGAACAGGCAGGGCUGGCAGAUCUUGGCUUCUGGAAUGUGAAACCCGGAAUGUGAAACCCCGGAGGACGUUGGCAUUUCCAGCUGUCAGCAGCUCCCCCACUGCUUGCCCUUUUAUGCCAGGAAAAAAUAGAAGGAAUCUCCCUCCUGGCAGAUUUGGAGUGGCCUUUCCAUCUGCCCUCAGGGAAGCCCUGCUAGGAAACAGGCAGGAAUGAGGUGGAAUUUCAGGUGUGCAGGUAUGUCAGGUAUGUAGAAGGAAGGCCGGGUUUCCCCAGGCCAGAGGCCUGUCCGCUGCUGGCUGACAAGGAGGAGUCUGUGUGAGUCAUUUUCUCCAAACACUAUGUUGGGAUUUCAGAAGCUCCCUGCAAGGUGGCUUCUGUUGACCAAAGCCUAAUCCCUGCUCUGGCAGGAUCCUUCGUAUGAUGCAGACCAGUGAAUUAAGAGCCUCCAUGUCAUAGGAGAGGCUGGAGGAGAGGCCCCAGGGUUUGCCAACCAGGAAUGAAGCUAGAACAAUCUGCUGAGCUGAGACUCAAGAUUCAGGUGCCAUUUCUGUGUCUGGAACAGCCUUUCAGCCAUUCAGAGCUAUUGCUUGGAUGUGAGAUGUUACUGUGGAUACACCCAGAGACACAAUGACUGUGCUACCAGAGAUUCAAAUGUAUCCAGAACCCCACCUGCAAGGCCCUCUGGGAAGGAAAGUGUGAAGCUUCCAGCCUCUGCAGACCAGAAAGUCCUGAAGAAGUUGGCUGGAUGCCAAGUGUCCACCUCCACAUCAUGCACACCCUCUGUGAUGGUUAGUACUGAGUGUCAACUUGAUUGGAUUGAAGGAUGCAAAGUAUUGAUCCUGGGUGUGUCUGUAGGGGUGUUGCCAAAGGAGAUUAACUUUUGCAUUAGUGGGCUGGGAAAGGCAGACCCACCCUUAACGUGGGUGGACACUGUCUAAUCAGCUGCCAGCAGAGCCAGAAUAUAAAGCAGGAAGAAAAACGUGAAAAGGCUAGACUGGCUUAGCUUCCAGCCUACGUCUUUCUCCCGUGCUGGAUGCUUCCUUCCCUCGAACAUCAGACUCCACGUUCUUCAGCUUUGGGACAUGGACUGGCUUCCUUGCUCCUCAGCUUGCAGAUGGCCUAUUGUGGGACCUUGUGAUUGUGUGAGUUAAUACUACUUAAUAAACUCAUAUAUAUAUAUAAAUUGUGUCCCUCUAAAGAACCCUAUUAAUUGUGUCCCUCUAGAGAACCCUGAUUAAUACACCUUCCCUGGCUCUCACUGCCCUCGACUUAGCACAGUUCCUUGGAAGAACCACAAUGUCUCUCUGGCUUCUGCCUCCAAUUCUCCCAUCCCUCUUCAUUUUUCAUUUUUCCCUUAAAUGUCACCCACCUUCUGGAAUCUUCUUGAACACCAAGGCUGAGGUCAGUCACCUGUCACCUCCCGAUAGCACCGUGGAUGUUAUCUGCCACGCUCUUACCAUGUUUCUUUGUGGCUUUUCUGUUAAGGCAGACACUUGAGAAUUAGUUCCUGCUAAGGUUUCUGAUCAUCAACAAGAAGGGAACAAGUCCUUCCAGUGACCAAACUGAUAAAGGGCUUUAUUUUUAGCUGAACCAGAGCAGAAUAUUUACCACCAGAUGUCUGGAUGUUUCUUUCCGCUCCCCCCCUGCAGCCCCCACAAUUAAGUAUAUGCGUUUACUUAAGUUUUCAUGUGUAUGUGUGUGUUUUCAAGUGUGCAAUUCAAUGGCAUUUCACAAUGUUUGGCAAUCAUCUGUGAUAUUUUGAGCAAAAAAAUCCACAGUCAUUACUGGACUCUCAAAUACAUUAUGGCCCAGGAUAGUUAAGACCAAAGGACCAGUGGAAGGUUUUCCUUCUUCUUCUUUGCAGGAAUUUAAUCCCUUCCUGUGUGAAUGUGUUUGUUCUGAGGAGAGGGGAGAGGUUUCCUCUGAAAUAAGUCAUUUGGGAUCAAAGUUGAAGAAGCCACUCCCCUGAGGGAAGCUGACAUAUUCUUGACAAUUUUUGCUUUCGCUUUUUGUGUGUGUGUGUGACUGUGUGUAACCCAGUAAUAAUGUCACACCUAUUUUUCUUAGUAGUUGCAGUGAAAGGAUUAAUAAACUUAGGAAUCUAGAAGGCUCUUCUGAGUACCAGCCAUCCCUACCCUCUUCUAGCAGGAUGCUGAUGCUGUUGACAGCCUGGGCUCCUGCAGCCCUGGACAUGGUGUGUCCUAUGUUGGGAGGGCUAAGGGGACAAAAGGUGGGCUGUGGAGAAGAGCCUUAGUUCUUCCCCAGUGCAUCUGACCCCAUAGGGCACAGCUGAGAAGCAGCUCCAUGCGGAAGCCCUGGAAGGGAGAGAGCUUUAAAGACCUUCAGGCAACAAUUCUCACCAAGUCACCAUGACAGGACAGACAGGUUGAGUGAGACACACCCUGAACACAGGGCUUUCAUCAUGCUUUCACUUUUCUUUCAUUCAUUUAGCACACACUAUGCACUUACUCUGUGUCAGUGGAUGCUGGGGACACGACUGUGACUUAGCUCCAGGCCCUGCUUUUCUGGGUCUUAUAGUCUGGGGAGGACACAGACCCCUCCAAAAACGGUGAUGACCCAGGGUGAGCAAGGCUGGGAGCAGCGCCCAGGGCACCAGGAAUGGCUUCCUGGAGGAGGGCACCAGAAGACAAGCAUUGGAUGGCUCUGGCUUUCCCGCCUCUCUUCUUGCCCACAGUUCCCAGAAUCACUGUAGAAUACAGUAGAAAUGUGUAUUAGUCCAUUUUCACACUGCUAAAAAAAACUACCUGAGACUGGGUAAUUUAUAAAGGAAAGAGGUUUAAUUGACUCAUAGUUCUGCACGCCAAGGUGGCCUCAGGAAAUGUACAAUCAUGCUGGAGGGUGAAGGAAAAGCAAGGCACGCCUUCCAUGGUGGCAGGAGAGAAAGAGAGCGAGCCGGGAACUUCUACACACUUUUAAACCAUCAGAUCUCCUGAGAACUCCCCCACUAUCAGGAGAACAGCAUGGAAAAAACUGCCCCCAUGAUCCAAUCACCUACCAGAUCCUUCCCCUGACACAUGGGGAUUACAAUGUGAGAUGAGAUUUGUGUGGCAAGACAGAGCCAAAUUAUAUAAGAAUGCACCAUCCUGAGUAAGGAGGAACUGCCUGAAAGUGCCCAAGCUUGGUUUCUAUUCCUCCGAGAGAAUGCAACACCUUGAGCUAAAGAGAAACUGCCCAGGACAGCCCUGGCCUCAUUCCCAUCCCUCCUAGAGGGGGUGUCCUGCCACACUAGCCCAGGGCGUGUCCACCACAUCUAAAACCCAGAGCUCACUGCUGAGUCCUCAGCUGUGGUGCAAGUGGGGCAGGCAUGGGAGACUCUAUCUGCCCUGGGCAGUGCUCCUGAGCCCCGGGAGACCAGUUUGAAUGUCCUUCUGCUGCCAAGACAGAAAGCACAUGGUAUGCCCAGAUGUGCACUGGAUGUGACUGAGGAAGGGCUGGGAAGCUGACAAUAUCCAAAAAUUGAAUGUUCUUGUCGUACAGAGAGAUGAACAGUCAUGCAGCCUAGGCUUCCGCUGUCCCUCGCUGCCUGUCUGUAAGUAAUUAACCUGCUUUGUCGAACUGGCUGUGGCUGUGGGUGUUCUGUUCACCACGCUCAGUGUAGUCAGAGUGCAGCCCAAGAUGCGGUGGCUGAAGUGUUCAGACCCCUAUUCCGGGUGGUUAGCGCAGUGGUGACCUUUGCCAUCCUCCCUGCAGUGGGAGUCCUCCCUUGGGAUUGGUAACUCACAAAUGCUGCCAAUUUGGCAGAGCAAAGAGAGUCCAAUCUGAUGAACCCAUGGCUUACUGGGUGUGCUAUAACAUGAAAAUGUUUGUUCUUUGACUCUUGUUCCUACCAUGAAGCUAAACUUGGAAUUUCCUGAGUGAUAGGAAUGUCUUUUGUUCUUCCAGAUGAGACUCUUUCAGAUCACACCAGCUGAGUUCAUGCUAAAAAUGUGAUUUAGGGGCCAGGUGCGGUGGCUCACACCUGUAAUCCCAACACUUUGGGAGGCCGAGGCGGGUGGAUCAUCUGAGGUCAGGAGUUUGAGAACAGCCUGGCCAACAUGACGAAACCCCGUCUCUACGAAAAAUACAAAAAUUAGCUGGGCAUGCUGGUGGGCGCUUGUAAUCCCAGCUACUCGGGAGGCUGAAGCAGAAGAAUUGCUUGAACCUGGGAGGCGGAGGUUGCAGUGAGCUGAGAUCAUGCCACUGCACUUCAGCCUGGGUGACAGAGUGAGACUCCCUCUCAAAAAAAAAAAAUGUGAAUUAGGGAAGGGUCCCCAGGUAGCCUCAGUAUCAUGCCAGUCAUCACAAAGACCAAAAGAUUUGAGGAUUAGAGGGUAGAAACUUUCAGUAUCACCCACCAACUUCCAAGAAAAGUGGCAAUGGCGAGGAGAUAAGGACCAAACUUUAUAAAAACUCUUGAAAAACUAGAGUUGAACUUCCCAGUUGCUGAACAUGUGGAGGUGCUGAGAGGAUGGGGUGUCCAGGAAGGCCAGGGAAGCUCCCACCAUCCCCAUCGCUUCCCCUGUCCACCUCCCCUUAUGAGCCUUGGUGAGAACUGUUCUUCUCAGUGUACUCAAGCUACAGACAGGUCUUAAGCAGGGGAUAGAAGUGAUCAGAUUGUGAUUCAGGAAAAUCCGUGUGUCCUUCUGCUGGGAGGAGGGUGGGUGAGAGGAUUGAGAUGGGAGCAUGAGACCAGGCAGGAAGCUGAUGGAGCAGAAAUUCUCAUGCAAUUUCCAGAGUCCUGCAGGCCCACUCGCUGUCAUGGGUGGAUGAGAUAAGCACUCACACCCCCGACCCCAUUUCUCAUUCUGCCUUCUGGCCUCCCCUCUCCUGAAGCUGCAGGGUAGAGCAGUGAUCUCCAACAUGGGGAUUGUGACACUCUCAGGUUGUGAAUCAAUUUAUUCAUCAACAUGGGUAUCUUAUACAUUCAACUAGAAUCAAAAGAAAUAGAAGAGUGUGCAUGGCACAGUGUCUUAUUCAUCAGUGUUCAAUUAAACUUUCUUUUGGACUGAUGUAAUAUGAGUGCUUCCUAGCAAGUCACAGCCAAACAGUUACUAAACACUGGAAGGAAAAAUCCUCUGGGUAUAAGCUCGCCUCCAUCUUUCUUAAAAAUCACUGACUACCUGUCCGGGCAUGUUGCUCCCCCUCACCCCGCCCCACACACACAAAGAGUUCAGAGCUCACAGUGUCAGUUCUAGGUGCUUCGUAUGCUGAGACUGGGUGUGGCAUUUGGCCUGGUUUUCUGUGCUAAAAACAGGGUUGAAUUUAGGCCUGGAGAGCAGCCAGUGCCAGGGAGAAAAGCACAUUCCUGAGGGCAGGGCUGGAGUUGCCAUCUCUUGGAAGAGAGGAGCCCAGCUGGCCCUCCUUGGCCUUGGUCCCCAUCUGUCAGGGCAGCUGAGUCAGGCUGGGUAGAGAAAACAGCAGUGGGUGAUGAUGACGGGGCAGGGGGUGUCAGAAGCUGGGUUCGAGGGAGGGCAGUGGGGCAGGGCCAGGGCUCUGUGGAUGCAAGAGUCCCUCUCUCAGCAAUCCUGAGACUUUGUGGUCAAACAGCCCUGGGUUGGACUCUUCUCUCUACAUUUUCUCAAAGGGUCAGAUAAGCUAUUUUCUAGUAGCCCUGUUUAUCUCCCUGUAUGACAACAACAUUAGAUUUUUGGAUAUUGUCAGCUUCCCAGCCCUUCCUCAGUCACCUCCAAUGCACAUCUGGGCACACCAUGUGCUUUCUGUCUUGGCAGCAGAAGGACGUUCAAACCACUCAAGCCCCAGCCCACAGGCAGCAACCCUCACCAUAGCCCCAUGCUCAAAAACUAGCCAAAGCCACGUGUUUAACGGCCCACUUGCUUCACACUGGACCAAGCCUCAAUCCUUCUUCUUGGGGAGUGCUGACACUGGUAAUGUGGCGUCAUCAUCUGGGGUAAAUACACAAGGUUCAUUGUCUCAAACCAAGAAAAUCGAGUACAUGGACACAAGAAGUGGGUUUAGGAGCAGGGGUUUAAUAGGCAAAAGAGAGAGAAAGAAGAACAGCUCUCUCUCUCUCUCUCAGCACCUGAAUGGGACUUCCAGCCUACAGCAGAGUGCACUGGAUUUUAUAGACGGGUUUGAAGAGGUGGUAUCUGAUUUCCAUAGGGCCCACAGAUUGGUUGGAUCAGCUGUGACAUUUACAUAGUGCUGGAAGAAGCUGACCACCCCACCCUAAUCUUAUUAUGCAAAUGGACUUUCCACUUGGUGGAUGCCAUGUUAUCUGCUUUCUACUGUGCAUGUGGUUGGAAAGGAAAAGGGAAGAUGGAGCUGCCAUUUUGAAAAUGCCUAGUCCCAGGUAGCCUUUUCCUAUUGGCACAAAUGCUGGCAUUCACCUGUGGAAGCUUCUAGCCUGCCUUUCUAUGUCUGUGGCUUGAUUUUAAUGGCUGCUGUUUGUUGGAAAAGUAUAUGAUUUGGAGGGUGCUUUUCAUUAAAAGAAAAACCUUACCAAGGACUUUCUUACCUUCACUAUCUGCCUAAAAUAAUUUCUUCUUAACUCCUAUAUUACCGGGUCCUAUUCAGGUUAUAAAAUUUAUUUCAUGCUGGGCACGGUGGCUCACGCCUGUAAUCCCAGCACUUUGGGAGGCCAAGGCAGGUGGAUCACCUGAGGUCAGGAGUUUGAGAACAGCAUGGCCAACAUGGCAAAAUCCCGUCUAUACUAAAACUACAAAAAAAAAAAAAAAUACCUGAGUGUGGUGGCAGGUACCUGUAAUCCCAGCUACUUGGGAGGCUGAGGCAGGAGAAGCGCUUGAAUCCGGGAGGCAGAGGUUGCAGUGAGCCGAGAUCGUGCCACUGCACUCCAGCCUGCGCGACAGAGUGAGACUGUCUCAAAAACAAACAAAAAACAAAACAACAACUUAUUUCAUAUACACGAGCACCUGUGUGUCAUUUCUCCUGAAGUCCAUUACAAUUCCCUGAGGGAUUUUUCCCAGCAAGCAGCAGGAGCUGCUAAAACCCCAUAUCAAAAUUCCCGAAGCAGCCGCCUGUGCAUUCCACAUCCCAAAGCUGCCCACUCUGUGUUGUCACUGUUUAGGGACAGUGGACCUAGAGCUGUUUGAGGACAGGGAGCAGGGCUGCAUCACUCACUGCCAUGUCCCUAGUUAUUGGGAACCCUGUCUCUUUCCAGGGUCACAGGAUUCUCAUGGCUUCCUGGGAAAUAACAGUAAACUCCAACAUCUGUUGGUCAUAUUUUCUCACCCUAUUCCCUCUAUGUAAAGAGCACCCUGGCAUGAGGGGCCCCUGCAGGUCACAGACACCAUCUAGACUGGACCCAGGUACCCCUGUCUCAGCCCAGCAACCCCCCCCAGUCCCAGGCCCAGCUCGUCCAGAAAGGCAAGCAGGCCCUGAUCCCAGGCACCCGGGGGCUGGCCUCAGGGAAGACUUUCCCACAACCCCAGCUGCUGGUGGGAGACCUGAGCUUCUGGAACGUGGCACACAGGAGAGCACUGGCUGUCCUCCUUUCAUGGGCUUCCCCUCUGGAACAAGCACGGAAAGGGCUGAAUCAUCAUUCUGGUGGCAUCCGGGUAUGAUUUCCACCUGGCCUCAGGGAGCCUCUCCCAGGUGACAGACAGGAAUCUGUGCCUGAGGGCCCAUCCUCUGAUAUCUGCCUGGGUGGCUGGAGUGCUCUGUGUUCCAUCUGCACACUUCAAGCUUGCAAGCUGGUCCCUGCUACCUGCAACAAGAACUUGGGUGCCAGUCCCUGGAUGGCUGAACUGGAUCCCUUCCUGCUUAAAUGCUCUACAGCAGCAGCAAAAACUGUAAGAAACCACUGAAAUUCAAAUCAGGAGAACAAAGCAGCUCUAGUGCAGCUGGCCAACUGUACCGGGGUGUUGGCCAACUCUCUGGUGUCAGGCCUCUGAGCCCAAGCUAAGCCAUCAUAACCCCUGUGACCUGCACGUAUACAUCUAGAGGGCCUGGAGCAACUGAAGAACCACAAAAGAUGACAUUCCAUCAUUGUGAUUUGCUCCUGCCCCACCCCAACUAAUCCAUCAACCUUGUGACAUUCCUCCCCUAGACAAUGAGUCUCAUGAUCUCCCCACCCUGCACCUUGUGAUCCCCAUCCCUGCCCACAAGAGAUAACCACCUUUAACUGUAAUUUUCCACUACCUACCCAAAUCCUAUAAAACUGCUGUACCCCUAUCUCCCUUUGCUGACUCUCUUUUCAGAUUCAGCCCAGUUGCACCCAAGUAAAAUAAACAGUCUUGUUGCUCACACAAAGCCUGUUGGUGGACUCUCUUCAUAUGGACUCAUGUGACAUUUGGUGCCGAAGACCUGAGACAGGAGGACUCCUUUGGGAGACCGGUCCCCUGUCCUCGCCCUCUCUCCAUGAGAUCCACCCAUGACCUCGGGUCCUCAGCCCAGCCGAAGGAACUUCUCACCAAUUUUAAAUCGGGUAAGUAGCCUCUUUUCAUUCUCUUCUCCAACCUCUCUUGCUAGAUAUCCCUCCACUCUUUAAUCUCUCCCUCCCUUAAUUUUGGUUCCUUUCCGUUUCUGGUAGAGACAGAGGAGACACGUUUUGUCCAUGAACUCAAAAUUCUGCUGCUGGUCACAGACUCGGGAAGACAGUCUUCCCUUGGUGUCUAAUCACUGUGGGGAUGCAUGUCUGAUUAUUCACCCACAUUCCAGAGGUGUCUGACCACUGCAGGGACGCCUGCCUUGAUCCUUCACCUUGGUGGCAAGUACCACCUCCCCUGGAUGGCAAGUACCAACCCCCCUCUCCAUGUCUCUACCCUCUCUUUUCUCUAAACUUACCUUUUUACUAUGGGCAACCUUCCACCCUCCAUUCCUCCUUCUUCUCCCUUAGCCUGUGUUCUAAAAAACUUAAAACCUCUUCAACUCUCACCUGACCCAAAACCUAAGCAUCUUAUUUUCUUCUGCAACAGCAUUUGACCCCAAUACAAACUUAACAAUUGUUCUAAAUGGCCAGAAAAUGGCACUUUCGAUUUCCCCAUCCUACAAGAUCUAGAUAAUUUUGUCAAAAAAUGGGCAAAUGGUCUGAGGUGCCUGAUGUCCAGGCAUCCUUUUACACAUCAGUUCCUCCCUAGUCUCUGCUCCCAAUGUGACUCAUUCCAGAUCUUUCUUCUUUCUCUCCUGUCUGUUCCUUCAGUCUCCACCCCAAGCUCUGAGUCCUUUAAAUCUUCUUUUUCUGUGAACUCAUCCGACCUCUCCCCUCCUCCCCACACUGCUCCUCACCAGGCCAAGCGAGGUCCCAGUUCUUCCUCAGCUUCCACUCUCCCACCCUAUAAUCCUUCUAUCGCCUCCCCCACUCACAACCGGUCCAGCUUACAGUUUUGUUCCGUGACUAGCCCUCCCCAACCUGCCCAACAAUUUCCUCUUAGAGAGGUGGCUGGAGCUGAAGGCAGAGUCAAGGUUAAUGAUCCUUUACAUCUUAACAAAAUUAUCCACUACCCUGACUAUUCCUGGACUACAGCCACAUCUCAGUGCCGCCCUUCUCCCCAACCUAAAGCCUCCUUCACGUCUUCCUCUUGUAUCCCCCAACCUUAACCCACAAGUAUGGGACACUUUUACUCCCUCCCUGGCAACCAAUCACACGCCCGUUACUAUCCCAUUAAAACCUAAUCAUCCUUACCCCGACGUGCUGCAGAGGACACAGCAGAGACAUAAUAGCGGGCCAUGUGCCAUCACUGGGAACACAGAUUGUCCUCAGGCCUUGAUGACUCAGAGAGUCAGGGCUGGGUUGGGGACGCGUAAAGGCUUGGGAGCCCACAGUGGUUGCCUCACCCAGCCUGGAAGGCCAGCGAUGUCUUCUAGGAGAAGAAGACAUUUGAGCUACUAUUUCAAGAAUGAAUGAGAACUGUGCCUGUUUCGACAAAGCUGAACCCAGAGGCCAGAAUGCAAGGCAGGAAGAGGAGACUGGAGUGGGCAGCAAGGCUGGGGCAUUUUUAUGGGCCCUUGGAGAACUCCAGUCUAUCCUGAGGGCACUGACCAUGGCCCAGGCCUAAGCAGGGGAUGGAAGUGACCAGAUUUAUGGUUGUAGAACAUCCCUGUAUCUCUCUUGUGAGGAGGGUGGAGAGGAGGGUUGAGUCUGGAGCUGGGUAAUGGUGCAAUCACGAGGGGCCUGCAGUCUUCCUCCUCCCUUGUGGAGAGGGGACAGCGUGUUCUCCUUCUCCAUUGCUCUCUGCUCCCCUGGCUUCUCCAUUUGCAGUUCAGGAAAGAGUAGUGUCCUCCAUACUAAGGGUGGCAACAUUUUAUUGGGUGGUAUAACUGCUUGAGUAUGUCAUAGAUAUUAUUUUUUUAAUUCAAGAAACAGACACAAAAAUGGGUUAGUGUACACUGCACAGAUUUUUAUGAACUGCCUUAUAGUGAAAUCUUCCUUCAUGACUGUGGUAAGUCACAUAUUGAGGGAGAAUUUAUAUUUUUUCCAGCGAAGCAAAACCAACAAGAAUGAAGUGGUCAGGUAUGGUGGCUCCUGCCUGUAAUCUCAGCACUUAGGGAGGCUGAUGAGGAAGAAUUGCUUGAGGCCAGGAGUUCAAGACCAACCUGGGCAACAUGGCAAAAUCCAGUCUUUACAAAAGUUUUUUUUUUUUUAAAAGCUGGGCAUGGUGGCACACACCUGUGGUCUCAGCUAUUUGGGAGGCUGUAGCAGGAGGAACGCUUGAGCUCAAGAGUUCCAGGUUGAAAUUAGUCAUGAUAAGACCACUGCACUCCAGCCUGGGCAACAGAGUGAGACCCUGAACGAAAGAAAGAAAAGAAAAGAAAAGAGAAAAGAAAAGAAAAGAAAAGAAAAGAAAAGAAAAGGGCCAGGUGUGGUGGCUCACACCUGUAAUCCCAGCACUUUGACAGGCCAACUCAGGUGGGUCACCUAAGCUCAGGAGUUCAAGACCAGCCUGGGUAACAUGACAAAACCCCAUAUCUACAAAAAAUACAGAAAUUAGAAUUAGCCGGGCAUAAUGUCAUGGGCCUGUAGACCCAGCUACUCAGGGGCUGAGGCAGGAGAAUUUCCUGAGCCUGAGAAGUGGAAGUUUCAGUGAGCUGAGAUCACACCACUGCACUGCAGCCUGGGUGACAGAACGAGAUCUUGUCUCAAAAAAUAAAAUAAAAUAAAAAUUAAAAAAAAUUAGGGCAGGUGCGGUGGCUCACACCUGUAAUCCCAGCACUUUGGGAGGCCGAGGUGGACAGAUCACAAGGUCAGGAUGGUGAAACCCCAUCUCUACUAAAAAUACAAAAAUUAGCCAGGCGUGGUGGCGUGUGCUUGUAAUCCCAGCUACUCGGGAGGCUGAGGCAGGAGAAUCGCUUGAACCAGGGAGUCAGAGGUUGCAGUGAGCCGAGAUCGUGCCACUGCACUCCAGCCUGGCUACAGAGCGAGACUCCGUCUCAAUUAAAAAAAAAAUUUAAAAAGGAAUGAAGAAGGGUGCAGGCAUGGCCUGGCUUCCUUCUUGCCUAAGUGCUGCUGACUUAGAUGUCCCAACACAUCUCCCAAUAACGGGCUUCAUCUCUCAAACCAUGGUUCCAGGCAUUUCCUGGGAUGGCUCGAGGCAGGUAGAGGCCUAGACGCUGGUGGGAGAAAGCAGGUUUCUUGGGUCAGGAUUAGGAUUGUGUCCCGAGGAGAGAGGAGUCUAGCUGACCCUCCUUGGCCUGAGCCUGAUCUCUCAGGGUGGCUGAGUCAGGCCUGGGGUGAGACAGUGGAGGGAGAUCAUGACAGCGCAGGGGGCUCUCAGAGGCUGGGAAGCGGGGAGGGUGGCCAGGGCUAGUCCAGUGCUCCUGUCUCUGCCCCUUCUCCAGGUGUCAAAAAAGCCUUUGCACACAGAGCUGUCCAAUGCCUCCGCCAGCCCCGUGGAGUCCCCAACCCUAUCCAAUCCAUUGUCUGGGGACAGGUCUGUCUUCGGCACUGGAGCCCAGCUCUGCCUUGGUGGAACUGAUCCUCAGGGGUUGGAACUCUACCUCUACCCACGGUGAAAGGAGGUUGUUUUUCUGACAAGUAAGGGCAAGAUCCUGACCUCAGACAGACAUUUGUUUAAUUCUCCCAUCUCACUUUCUAAUCCAAGCAAGACACGGUCCGAGGACCCACUGCUGGUCACAGACACAGGCUGGACCAGAGCCCAGGUCUCCUGAACUCCAGUCCACAGGCCUCCAACUGCUGCCCUACCCUGCCUCUGCUGGCCCAGCCCCUCUGGGAAGGGGAGGCAGGCCUUGGUCACAGAUAUCCCUGGAUGAGACCCAAAUCUGACAUUCCCAGGGUUCCUCGGUGGGGCUGGCAGAGCUGGGCUCCUGGAAUGUGAAACCGUGGGGGCCUUGACAUUUCCCACUCUCAAAGGCUCUCUCUUCACUUGCUCUUUUGUCCAGGAAUAAAUAGAAUGACUCUUCCACCUGGCAUCUUUGUGGUGUUAGUUCCAUCUGGCCUCAAGGAGCCCCUCCCAGGGGAUAGGCAGGGAUGGGGUGGCAUUGCAUGUGUGUACAGGAGGGACGGAAGCUCUCCAGCCUAAACACCUCUCUUUGCUGGCUGAUGAGGAAGCUGUGUCACUCAUUUUCUCCGAGCAUAGUUAUCAGAAUUGAAGGGGCUGAUCUCUCUCUCCUUGCAAAGGGGCUUUGGUGACCAAAGACUGGAUGGUGUCAACCUGGUGAUCAAAAUGGUCAGAAUCUAAUUUAAAGAGAGUUUAUUCCAGCACGAAUGUUGAGGAUAGCCCACCCAGAAACACCAACUCCAAAAAUUGGAGCCAGCACCCAGAAACUUAUGGUUUCAUUUCUAUAUAUGAAACUGCCUUGUAGUGAAACCUUCGUUCAUGACUCUGGUAAGCCACAUACCGAGGCAGAAUUUAUUUUUUUUUCCAGGGACGCAAAGCCAACAAGAAUGAAGAAGUGGCCAGGUAUGGUGGCUCAUGCCUGUAAUCCCAGCACUUAGGGAGGCCGAGGAGGAAGAAUUGCUUGAGGCCAGGAAUCCCAGACCAGCCUGGACAACAUGGCAAAAUCCAGUCUUUACAAAAAAAAAAUUUUUUUAAUUGCUGGGCAUGGUGGCACACACCUGUGGUCCCAACUACUUGGGAGGCUGUGGCAGGAGGAUUGCUUGAGCUCAAGAGUUCCAGGCUGCAAUUAGCUAUGAUCAGACCACUGCACUCCAGCCUGGGCAACAGAGUGAGACCCUGAAAAACAAAAAAGAAGGGAGGAAGGGGGGAAAGAAAGGAAAAAGAAAGGAAGGAAGGAAGGAAGGAAGGAAAGGAAGGAAGGAAGGCAGGAAGGAAGGAAGGAAGGGAGGGAGGGAGGGAGGGAGGGAGGGGGAGGGGAGGGGCCAGGUGUGGUUGCUCACACUUGUAUCCCAGCACUUUGGGAGGCCAAUGCAGGCAGGUCACUUAAGCUCAGGAGUUCAAGACAAGCCUGGGCAACAUGACAAAACCCCAUCUGUGAUGGGAGGAGGGCAGCCAGGGCCAGUCCAGGGCUCCUGUCCUGGCCAGGCACAGUGACUCACACCUUUAAUCCCAGGACUUUGGGAGGAUGAGGAGGGAGGAUCGUUUGAACCCAAGAGUUUAAGACCAGCCUGAACAACAUGCUGAAACCCCGUCUGUCCAAAAAAUACAAAAAUUAGCUGGGCACAGUGGUGCACACCUGUGGUCCCAGCUACUCUAAAGGCUGAGGUGUGAGGAUCGCUUGAGUCUGGGAGGUUGAGGCUGCAGUGAGCUGUGAUUGAGCCACUGCCCUCCAGUCUGAGCUGACACUGAAGACAGAGACACUGAGCAGGCCAGAGAUGGGGGAGAGACUGAACAGUGCAGAAAGGAGGACAGGAGAGCCAGGAGGAGAGGCCAGCAAUGUUGAGAGAGUGAGGUUGUGAGAGGAAAAUAAAAACGAAGGGAGGAAGAAAUACAACUGUAGGGAAAGGGGGAGGUGGAUUGACUAGAGGCAGGAGGACAGACACAGAGAAUGGGGGCUCUACUCAGGGCAGAACAGGCAUGCAGCCCCCCAGGACCCACAAUCUCAUGGAGGAGACAGGACCUCACCUGUGACAAAGCCUGUUAUCUGAGGUCAGGGUCAAGGAGCACUUCUGGCCUUUCAUCUUCACCAUGAGGGACGCUGGGGGACUGAGGGACCAGGGGCAGCACUUCUCGAAGCAGACUCUGAAGGUGCAGUUCCACCCCUCUGGGUCCCAUCCGAGGGCAGGAUGGCAUUGUCAUAGUAGCAGUGCUGCAGAGGGUCACAGAACGUGUCCCCACAUCUUGCCUGUGGCUGGCACAGCAUCAGAUAAGCACCCAUGGGGGCCACUGGAGGAGACAGAGCUGGUGAGGUCCAGGUGGAAGGGCAGGUGGGUCCCAGCCUGGGAUCUCCUGGGAGCCACACCCCUCCCCCAGAUUCCCAGCCCUUCCUGGGCUCACCUGGGGGCUCCACAUGAUCAGAGAAGGCUGAGGAUGCAGAGAGACGCCAAGACAGCUGUGGGAGAAGGAAGAAGAGGAGGGCUCUGGAGGAGGCCACGAGCCAUCUUUGGGACCCCAGCCUGCGGCAGCACUGGGUCCAAGGGGGUCUCUGUCCUGACUGGAGCUCGAGGAAGGGCUAGAAGGUGAUCUGAGGUCAGGCACAGUCUCCCUGUGCUCAAGGGUCCUGGGCAAGGCCAGGGAGUGCAGGCAGGACUCUCAGAAGAAAUGGGCCUAGGGUUCAGGGCAAUGUGGUUGUUUCCUGGUGUUGGAGGAGUUCAGAGCUGGAGGCUCAGCUGGGGUCGGGCAGGGAAGGGGCUGAGCCGAGACUAGCGUUGUGCUAUGGGUGUGGCUGGCACUGACAUUUAGAAAAAGACUGGGUGGGACUGGAACCAGGGCUAGGCAUAAGUUUGGGGAGUAGUUUGGGGACUGAAACAGCUGUGGAUGGGGCUGACCCAGGGGCUGUGGAUGGGGAAUUGCUGUGAUGGAGCCAUGUCUGAGGAGGAGGCCAGGCAUGGGGACAGGGAUGAGGUGUAGUUUGGGGUGGGGAGUGAGCCUCGGUGGUGGCUGAGAUGGGAGAUGGGCUCGGGUGGGAAUGGGGUCCUGUCCUCCUUACCCAAGAUGUGGCCUCGGGAGCCAUGGCUCUGGGGUGGCUGGAGGGGAGUGAGUGGGUGAUCAGCAGGUCUCAGCAGCUCCUUGGCUCCUAUACUCCUAGAGGAGCUGGUGAUAUCGUGGGAUGCCCUGCCUUCCUGCAGAGACAUGCUGGGCCCUGGAGCGAGACAGGUCCCAGACAGGGUAUGUGUCAUGGUGGAUUUGAUGCCAGGUCCUUUGAGAGCCAGGAGAGGACCGAUGCUCCCUCCACCCUCGGUCCCUCUCUCCUCCAGAAUGGAGGCUUCUUUGGCAAAUAGGAAAUUGCAGGACACUCCUGGGGUCGUCCUCACCCUCCCACACUCACACAGCCACAAUGUUACAGCUGACCCUGUGAGUCUAGAGUCGAGACACGGACUGAGGGUUGCUCCAUGACCUGGUCCCCUUCUAGAUGUGAAUCAGUGCAAGGGCCCAGGACAGCGGAAGAGGUGUGAAGCCAUCCUGUGAUCGGGAAGCCACAGGGUGUCCAGACCCAGCGGGAGCCGAGGAUUCAGGAGAAUCUCCCCAGUCAGCUCCAGAGGUGCCCACAGUGUGAGCUCUAGUGUCUCCCAGGUAGGGGCCAAAGCGUCACCUGCCCGGCCCUGGGGGUGCAAGUGGAGUGGAUUUUACUCCUGUCCAGAAAAUGGAGUGAGACCCUGUCUCUAAAUAAAUACAUACAUUUAGACUCCUCUGUCUUUGCGUGUAUAUAAGCAAAGACAGAGGUGUUUUUAUCAGGAUUACAACAUUUUUCAUAAAAGGUUGGCACAUCAUUACAGCAAGUUGCUUAUAGGCAAUGUUUCUCUAUGAGAAGGGCACAUUUAACAUUUUUUACAAAGGGUGUAAUAGUCAUGGUUUUUCUGUUAUCUGAUCUAAGCAAGGCAGGACAACAAAGGGGAACUUAAUUGAUAACAAGGGUCAUUAAUUAACAGGGCACCACUGGGUGGACACAGUGGCAUCUGUAAUUCCAACACUUGGGGAGGCCGAGGUGAGAGGAUCGCUUGAGGUCAAGAGUUUGAGACCAGCCUGGGUAACAUGGCAAAACUCUGUCUCUACCAAAAAAUACAAAAAUUAACUUGGCAUGGUGGCACAUACCUGCAGUCCCAGCUACUUGGGAGGGUGAGGUGGGAGGAUAACUUGAACCCGGGAGGUGGAGGUUGUAGUCAGCUGAGAUCAUGCCACUGCACUCCAGCCUCUGGAACAGAGAGAGACUCAGUAUCAAAAAAAAAAAAAAGUCUUGGUCAGAUGCAGUGGCUCAUCCCUGUAAUCCCAACCCCUUUGGAGGCCAAAGCAGGAGGAUCACUUGAGGCCAGGAGUUGGAAACCAGCUUGGCCAAAAUAGCAAGACCCUGUCUCAAAACAAAAAACACUACCAAAAAAAAAAAAAAAAAAAAAAAAAAAAUAUAUAUAUAUAUAUAUAUAUAAAAUGAGGAAGCCUGGGUCUUGUUCUGUCACCCAGGCUGGAGUGCAGUGGCACAAUCUCAGCUCACUGCAAUCUCUGCUUCCCGGGGUUCAAGUGAUUCUCCUGCCUCAGCCUUCCUAGUAGCUGGGAUUGCAGGUGCCCGUGACCACGUCUGGCUGAUUUUUGCAUUUUUAGUAGAGAUGGGGCUUCACCAUAUUGUCCAGGCUGGUCUUGAAUUCCUGAUCUCAAGUGACCCACCUCCCCCGGCCUCCCAAAGUGCUGGGAUUACAGGCGUGAGCCACCGUGUCCGGCCCUUGAUUGGUUUUUGCUUGCAUUGUCCCUGGUGAAGCCAUUGAAAAGCUUUACUGCUUUCUGCAGCAGAAUGGGAUCAGACCCAAUGAGUGAUGAAAGUUAAAAUAAACAAAGUCAGAAGACUCUAAACCCAAGCGCUUGUGCCAGAGGCAGCCUCUGGGUGCCUGGCUGAUACCACAGGAGGUUUCUAACAAAGAGAUUGACAGCCUUUCCACAUCUGAUAUCUGGUACCAGGCAGAGAGAGGCCCUUGCAGACCGUGGAGUCAACGCCUCACUGGGUAUUUUGGAUAUUAAAGACAACAUAGACUCCAUCUGGGCAUUCUGGUGGUCCCCCUGCACCAGAUAACCAGAGACAUAGCUGCUUUCCAGGGACCCCCAGUGGGGGUCCAGGGAGUACAAUGCACUCCAGGCCCUACCUCAGGCAGUUACUCAGGCCCCUGUGUCCCGUAGAGCCCAGCUCCCCAUUUGAAUGACAAGUUUCAGUGCUAGGAGAUGAGGAAGACUGGAAUCUGACCAAAAGGAAAAGCCAUCAGAGUCUGAUGACCGCAAAGUUUCUGGACUUCUAGGCUCCCAGAAAUGGCCACUCAUCAUGCACCUUUUCUGAAGGAGCUAUUAACAUGUUGUUGGGCUCUGGUGGAAACAGAGAGGCUGAGCCAACACACUGUGGUAAUACUCUGACCAGAAAUACCCAUCUCUUCCUGAACUGAUAGCAGCCUAGACCCGAGAGCGGUGUCUGCUGGACAGAGCAGCAUCAUUACAUCGAAGGGAGACAUCCAAGAUAGAAUAAAAUAGAACAGUUACAAUAUAUUGUAACAGUUACCACAUAGUGCAGCUGUAAGUUUUGCAGUUUGAGGUAGGACACAAAGCUAGUGCAAAUUUCUGUUUCUUCCUGCUCAAUUUCAGGUACAGCAGAUUCAUUCUUACCAUAGAUCUUAGCAACCUCAGCCCAUUUUUUUUUCUUUCCUUAUUAAGUGGAGAAUUUUCAUCUUUUUACUGAAAGGAAGCACUUUACAGUUUCUGUUUGGCAUAUCUGAAUUGCCAGCAUCACUACUCUUGCAGUUUGGGGCCAUUACAAAGUAAAAUAAAGGUUUUAUUUUACGAUAAAGAAAGCCCUCUUGAGAAACUUUCACAAACACUGCAAUAGCAUGACAGUUGAUCUGAUAACUGAGACAGCUACUGGAGACUACUGAGCCGGUAGCAUCUACAGUGUCAAUAUGCUGCACGAAGGAUGACUCACCAGCGGGGCAGGACAGAGCGGGACGACACGGCAUUUCACAAUCAGUGUGACACGCAACUUUAAAAUUUAUGAACUGUUUUUUCUUUGUUUUGUGUUUUGUUUUUGUUCUUUUGAGACAGAGUCUUGCUCUGUCCCCCAGGCUGGAGUGCAGUGACACGAUCUUGGCUCACUGCAACUUCCACCUCUCGGGUUCAAGUGAUUCUCCUGCCUCAGCCUCCCAAGUAGCUGGGAUCACAGACACAUGCCACAGCACCCGGCUAAUUUUUGUAAUUUUUUAGUAGAGAUAGGAUUUCACCAUGUUUUCCAGGCUGGUCUCGAACUCCUGACCUCAAGUGAUCCACCCACCUUGGCCUCCCAAAGUACUGGGAUUACAGGCAUGAGCCACCAUGCCUGGCCUCUGAUAUUUUCAUUUAAUAUUUUCAGAUCACAGUUGAUCAUGGGUAACUGAAACCUACGCCAAAGUGAAAGUGGAGAUAAGAGGGAAUUACUAUACCACAAUAAUACUCAGCCACUAGAAAGGCUGGGAUGACUCCAUGCUUUGUUCUUCAAAAAUACUUCAAAUAAUUCUAUUUAAAAAGCAAAAGAGACCGGGUGCAGUGGCUCACACCUGUAAUCCCAGAACUUUGGGAGGCCGAGGUGGGUGGAUCACAAGAUCAGGAGUUCGAGACUAGCCUGGUCAACAUGGUGAAACCCCUGUCUCUACUAAAAAUACAAAAGUUAGCCCGGCAUGGUGGUGGGCACCUGUAGUCCCAGCUACUUGGGAGGCUGAGGCAGGAGAAUUGCUUGAACCCAGGAGGUGGAGGUUGCAGUGAGCUGAGAUCAUGCCACUGCACUCCAGCCUGGGUGACAGAGCGAGACUCCAUUUCAAAAAAAAAAAAAAGCAAAAGAAUGAGGCAUUUAUGUAAAGUUAUAACAAACAAAAUAUUUUCAGAAAAGCAAUUCCACAAUGUUUAAUGUAAUUUGAGCAUCGAGCAUUCUUCAUAACUCUUUACAAUUAUUGAUUCAUCUUGUCUGGGUUUCAUCAUCAUUUUACAAAUGAGGAAACUGAAACACAGAGUGGCUUCAUAACUCACCCACAGUCACAGUCAGUGGGGCAAGGUCAGGGUUUGACCUGGGAGCGCUAGCCACAGGGCACCUGCACCCCAGCCCCUGCUGCCCACUGUUGUGUCCCUGUGGGUGUGCUCUUCUAGGCACGUUUGGAACCCUGAGUUCUCACCAGAGAGGACAGUGAAUCACUCCAAGGAGAAAGACAAGGGCUUAGAGUGGAAAAGGAGCUUUGGUUUUCACUUUAUUGCUGUGCUGAUGAAGUUUUAAAAGAACACCUCUCACAUGUAUAAAAUAAUGGAAAACAAGCUAUGCCAAGAAGAAAAGUAUGAAUCAAAAAUUCAAUGAUUACAAAUAAAAUAGUAAAUAAGAUUACAAAAGAAAAUCAGAUACUUUUAGUCAAACUAUGUAAAAAUCCCAUAUUUUACAAAAAGAGUAAUCAAAUGAUGGGGGGAGAAGAGAGCUAAUAUUUAAUGAAAUUAUGGUGGUCACUGUGAGACAAAGUAACAAACAUGAGAAGCCGGUUUGCUCAUUUCUGCUUCCCAGCAUAAUUUCACAAGGCCCCUGAGUCUGUGAUGACCUGCGGCUCUCCAAAAACAUGCUUUCUUUUGGAGAAAAAAAGGAGAGAGAAAAGGGCCCUCAUGUCUCUUGCCCUCCCUGUUCCUUGCAGGUGGUGAGAUUGAGAACUCAAUCCAAAGUAUGACAUAAAGACACACCUCAGAGCUCAGAGCUUUCUUUCCCAGGAUGCACCUAUCCACUCUGGCAACGUUUACUUGUUCCCACCACCACCUAGUCCUGUCCACCUUCCUUCAUCCUCAUCCUCACUUCCUGAUCUUCUCUUUAGCCCAGCUCAGGUUGAGGCCAAACUUGAAUCUGACCCUCACCCCGCCCUGGGAGGGAAAAUUCAGUGAGGAAUAGCAUUCCUUCCAGUGAGGCAUACCCUGGAGUCUACAUCGGCCUCCCAACCCCAAAUCAGUCUCUUUUCUCCUCUCCCUCCCAUUAUGGCCCUGCGUCUUCCCUUUCUGGGCUGAGUUUUGUAGUAUCUGUUUUCUGUGGGCUCUUGAAAUUAUACUAGAAGUAUGAUUUUUCCUUUAUUAAUUCUAUAUUUAAUAACUUUUUUGUUAAAUUUAGAAAGGAAGGUGAGAUAUCUCUAACAUAUCUAGAAUGAAGUCUUUCUUGACAUGCCUCAGAAAAACAUACCUGCUUCUCCCCCACUUUGAGGUCCAGUCCAUUGAGAAAUGCUGGCAUUGUGGGGAUGGUGCAUACUGAGGGGCCUGAGGGGAGAUGGAGCUUGGACUGGAGGCUCAAUCAUUCCUGGUGUUCCUAGCACCACAGAUGACUCAGCGGGACUCCCGAAUAGUCAACCCUUCUUCUGAGGGCGAGGGCCAGAGUCUCAGGGAUUGUCUUUUCUGAAUUUUUCUUUUUGAUGGUAAAAAGAUCCAGGUCCGUGAUUUUGCAGAAUACCCUAAAGCCACAUGCAUUUUUGGUCUCUUCAAAGUCAACCCCCACCCCCCAUGGGGGAAGGAAUGAUGCAAGGCUCUUUGCCCCACAGGAGAGGGUUGGGGGAUUACCAGGGGGCGUGAUAAAUAUCCUCAGCCUUGGCAAAGAGGGCUGGGAGGGUCUGUGGUAGGCUGCAGAUACAGUCCUGAUUAUCUCUCCUUCCUCAUUCACACACUUGCAAAAUAUGACUUUACGUCUAUUAAGAUUUGGUAUCCAUGUCCCCAUUCCCUUGACUGUCUGCACCCUGUGGAAUUUGUGGUCUAUAGGACACUGUGGAGUGAUCGAUCAUGUGCCAGUUUUGAGUUAAGACUUUGCUCAAGGACUCUGGUACUUCCACUUUCUCAGGAAAUUAAAGCAAUGUGAACACCCUCUGGCCAGCCUGUUGGAGGGUGAGAGACCACAUGGAGGAGACAGAGCCCUGAUGUCCCAGCUGAGGACAUCCCAGAAAAGCCUAUUUCCAGACAACUGAGGACAGGUGAAUGAGUUCUUUGUAGAUGAACCAGAAUCCAGUCUAUCUACCUGCUGAGCACAGACAUGUGAGCAACCCCCCCAUCAAGGUCAACUGAGCCUGGCCCAGAUCAACAGAAUCACGAGAUGACCUAUGGACUCAGGAGCAAUCAUGAUGUGGUUGUUCCAUGACACUGAAUGUAGAGGUCGUUGAUUCUGCAGCACCAGCAAACUGACACAUAACACCGUGUUUAAUAUUGGGUUCUGGGCUUUGGGGUCCCUGCAGAGUUCCUGAUUUCAGCCCCAAGGGCUCAUUCACAAAUUUAUUACUCAGAUUCUACCCUGUCAACCCAGGACGUGUUACUUACACAUUUCCCAGUGUGGGCAGCAAGCCACCCAGGUGCCGAGGCAAGAGACCGAGGGCACAAGCUGUUCCAGUAUAAUAAAGAAAACAUAUAAAAUAAGAAUAGUUAUACUAGAUAUAGAUCGUAGAUAUGAUUAUAUAUGAAUAUUACUAAUCAUUAGUCUGUAGCAAUUACUCUUUAUUCCAUUAUAAUAAUAAUCUUCUCUCUACAAUUAUAACUUAAGAGAAACCAGGCCAUACAGAGAUAGGAGCUGAACGGACACAGUGAGAAAUGACCAGAAGACAAGAGUGUGAGCCUUCUAUUAUGCCCCGACAGGGCCACUAGAGGGCUCCUUAGUCUAGCGUUAAUGCCAGUGCCCGGGAAGAUGCCCGUUACCUAGCCGACUUUGGUCUAGCGGUAGCGUCAGUGCCCAGGAAAAGCACCCACUACUUAGCAGACUGGGAAAAGGAGUGUCCCUUUCCCCGGGGGAGUUAGAGAAGACUCUGCUCCACCACCUCUUGUGGAGGGCCUGACAUCCGUCAGGCCUGCCCGCAGUUAUCCAGAGGCCUGUCUCCCUGUGAUGCUGUGCUUCAGAGCAGUCACGCUCCUGGUCCGCUUACAUGUUCCAUCCUGUACACCUGGCUCUGCCUUCUAGGUAGUAGCAGAAUUAGUGAAAGUACUAAAAGUCUCUGAAAUGCAAAAAUAAAGGCAUAAGCUGUCUCCUUUCUCUCCACCUCAGCUGCCAAACAGGGAAGGGCCGCCUGUCCAGUGGAUACAUGACCCACAUGACCUUACCUAUCAUUGGAGAUGGCUCACACUGCUCACCCUGCCCCCUUGUCUUGUAUCCAAUAAAUAACAGCGCAGCCUGGCAUUCGGGGCCACUACUGGUCACUGUGUCUUGGUGGUAGUGGUUCCCCGGGCCCAGCUGUUUUUUCUUUUAUCUCUUGGUCUUGUGUCUUUAUUUCUAUGAUCUCUCGUCUCCGCACAUGGGGAGAAAAACCCACAGACCCUGUAGGGCUGGUCCCUACAUCCCAGGACUCUCUAUCCCACUGUGGAAGACUUCGCAGUUGCCUGCCAUGCUCCCACAAAGAGCUGGCCACCUGCCCCAGGAUGAAUGGGGGCUCUGUCCGAGUUGCUAAAGGUGUGCCUCUGGCCAUAUGCUGGGAGGCAAAUGAGCUGUCAGGCAAGGGUAGGAAAUAUGUGGGCAUCAGAGGACAAACAAGGAGUGAGGUGCCUCCCACCAGCCAUACAUCUGAAGUGCUGUCAGAUGGCCAUAGGGGCCAGCUGGGUAUGGGUCCCCAACAACCAGGAAGGACACUGAGCAUCUGAAAACCAUUGGUCAUGGAACACAGAACCCACGGGGAACACUAUGGGUUCACAAAGACCCAGGAGGUCUAUUGUAAGCCUCAGUAUAGAGAGAGGAACACACUGAGCUUCUGAUCACCCAUUAUCAAGGCUGUGCUGCUUUAUGUUGAUAGUCCAAAAUUAUCCUGCAUGGGAGUUGGUCCACACAAAUUAUAAUCACAAAGGCAAUAUAGAGGAGAGUGGGGGGGGCGGUCACAGGAAUGAGCGUCACGGUGGCUGGGGAUGGACCUUUCACUUAGCUGAUCAUGUGCAAACAGCAAGAUUCAUGAUGAACUGCUCCACCACAAAACAAAUAAAUGGGUGUCUACAGUACACACACUGGGCCCCCCACUAACCCUGAC
rnacentral:lncRNA from 1 species